rnacentral:rRNA from 1 species
CGUGGGUAACCUGCCCCGAUGACCGGGACAACUCGAGGAAACUCGGGCUAAUACCGGAUGUGGUCCCCUCACAUCAGUGAGUUGACUAAAGGUAGCUUCGGCCUCCGCAUCGGGAUGGGCCCGCGGCCCAUUAGCUUGUUGGUGAGGUAACGGCUCACCAAGGCCGCGAUGGGUAGCUGGUCUGAGAGGACGAUCAGCCACACUGGGACUGAGACACGGCCCAGACUCCUACGGGAGGCAGCAGUGGGGAAUCUUGCGCAAUGCGCGAAAGCGUGACGCAGCAACGCCGCGUGGGGGAAGAAGGCCUUCGGGUUGUAAACCCCUUUCAGGAGGGACGAAGCUUCGGGCGUUAAUAGCGUUCCGGAGUGACGGUACCUCCACAAGAAGCCCCGGCUAACUACGUGCCAGCAGCCGCGGUAAUACGUAGGGGGCAAGCGUUGUCCGGAAUCAUUGGGCGUAAAGAGCGCGUAGGCGGUCCGGUAAGUCCGCUCUGAAAGUCCGGGGCUCAACC